rnacentral:rRNA from 1 species
AUUGAACGCUGGCGGCAUGCCUUACACAUGCAAGUCGAGCGCGAAAGGGGGCAACCCCGAGUAGAGCGGCGGACGGGUGAGUAACACAUCGGAACGUGCCCAGUAGUGGGGGACAACCUCGAGAAAUCGAGGCUAAUACCGCAUACGACCCACGGGUGAAAGCGGGGGACCGCAAGGCCUCGCGCUAUUGGAGCGGCCGAUGUCCGAUUAGCUAGUUGGCGGGGUAAGAGCCCACCAAGGCGACGAUCGGUAGCUGGUCUGAGAGGACGACCAGCCACACUGGGACUGAGACACGGCCCAGACUCCUACGGGAGGCAGCAGUGGGGAAUUUUGGACAAUGGGGCAACCCUGAUCCAGCCAUGCCGCGUGCGGGAAGAAGGCCUCGG